ACUCAGGUGUUGUUGGGUAGGGGAGCGUUCUGUAAGCCUGUGAAGGUGGCCUGUGAGGGUUGCUGGAGGUAUCAGAAGUGCGAAUGCUGACAUAAGUAACGAUAAAGCGGGUGAAAAGCCCGCUCGCCGGAAGACCAAGGGUUCCUGUCCAACGUUAAUCGGGGCAGGGUGAGUCGACCCCUAAGGCGAGGCCGAAAGGCGUAGUCGAUGGGAAACGGGUUAAUAUUCCCGUACUUGGUGUUACUGCGAAGGGGGGACGGAGAAGGCUAUGUUGGCCGGGCGACGGUUGUCCCGGUUUAAGCGUAUAGGUGUGUGUUCCAGGUAAAUCCGGUUCACUUUAACACUGAGGCGUGAUGACGAGGCGCUACGGUGCUGAAGCAACAAAUGCCCUGCUUCCAGGAAAAGCCUCUAAGCAUCAGGUAACAUCAAAUCGUACCCCAAACCGACACAGGUGGUCAGGUAGAGAAUACCAAGGCGCUUGAGAGAACUCGGGUGAAGGAACUAGGCAAAAUGGUGCCGUAACUUCGGGAGAAGGCACGCUGACAUGUAGGUGAAGUGAUUUACUCACGGAGCUGAAGUCAGUCGAAGAUACCAGCUGGCUGCAACUGUUUAUUAAAAACACAGCACUGUGCAAACACGAAAGUGGACGUAUACGGUGUGACGCCUGCCCGGUGCCGGAAGGUUAAUUGAUGGGGUCAGCGCAAGCGAAGCUCCUGAUCGAAGCCCCGGUAAACGGCGGCCGUAACUAUAACGGUCCUAAGGUAGCGAAAUUCCUUGUCGGGUAAGUUCCGACCUGCACGAAUGGCGUAAUGAUGGCCAGGCUGUCUCCACCCGAGACUCAGUGAAAUUGAACUCGCUGUGAAGAUGCAGUGUACCCGCGGCAAGACGGAAAGACCCCGUGAACCUUUACUAUAGCUUGACACUGAACAUUGAGCCUUGAUGUGUAGGAUAGGUGGGAGGCUUUGAAGUGUGGACGCCAGUCUGCAUGGAGCCGACCUUGAAAUACCACCCUUUAAUGUUUGAUGUUCUAACGUGGACCCGUAAUCCGGGUUGCGGACAGUGUCUGGUGGGUAGUUUGACUGGGGCGGUCUCCUCCUAAAGAGUAACGGAGGAGCACGAAGGUUGGCUAAUCCUGGUCGGACAUCAGGAGGUUAGUGCAAUGGCAUAAGCCAGCUUGACUGCGAGCGUGACGGCGCGAGCAGGUGCGAAAGCAGGUCAUAGUGAUCCGGUGGUUCUGAAUGGAAGGGCCAUCGCUCAACGGAUAAAAGGUACUCCGGGGAUAACAGGCUGAUACCGCCCAAGAGUUCAUAUCGACGGCGGUGUUUGGCACCUCGAUGUCGGCUCAUCACAUCCUGGGGCUGAAGUAGGUCCCAAGGGUAUGGCUGUUCGCCAUUUAAAGUGGUACGCGAGCUGGGUUUAGAACGUCGUGAGACAGUUCGGUCCCUAUCUGCCGUGGGCGCUGGAGAACUGAGGGGGGCUGCUCCUAGUACGAGAGGACCGGAGUGGACGCAUCACUGGUGUUCGGGUUGUCAUGCCAAUGGCACUGCCCGGUAGCUAAAUGCGGAAGAGAUAAGUGCUGAAAGCAUCUAAGCACGAAACUUGCCCCGA
rnacentral:rRNA from 1 species